rnacentral:rRNA from 1 species
GUGGCGAACGGGUGAGUAACACGUGGGUGAUCUGCCCUGCACUUCGGGAUAAGCCUGGGAAACUGGGUCUAAUACCGGAUAGGACCACGGGAUGCAUGUCUUGUGGUGGAAAGCGCUUUAGCGGUGUGGGAUGAGCCCGCGGCCUAUCAGCUUGUUGGUGGGGUGACGGCCUACCAAGGCGACGACGGGUAGCCGGCCUGAGAGGGUGUCCGGCCACACUGGGACUGAGAUACGGCCCAGACUCCUACGGGAGGCAGCAGUGGGGAAUAUUGCACAAUGGGCGCAAGCCUGAUGCAGCGACGCCGCGUGGGGGAUGACGGCCUUCGGGUUGUAAACCUCUUUCACCAUCGACGAAGGUCCGGGUUCUCUCGGAUUGACGGUAGGUGGAGAAGAAGCACCGGCCAACUACGUGCCAGCCGCCGCGGUAAUACGUAGGGUGCGAGCGUUGUCCGGAAUUACUGGGCGUAAAGAGCUCGUAGGUGGUUUGUCGCGUUGUUCGUGAAAUCUCACGGCUUAACUGUGAGCGUGCGGGCGAUACGGGCAGACUAGAGUACUGCAGGGGAGACUGGAAUUCCUGGUGUAGCGGUGGAAUGCGCAGAUAUCAGGAGGAACACCGGUGGCGAAGGCGGGUCUCUGGGCAGUAACUGACGCUGAGGAGCGAAAGCGUGGGGAGCGAACAGGAUUAGAUACCCUGGUAGUCCACGCCGUAAACGGUGGGUACUAGGUGUGGGUUUCCUUCCUUGGGAUCCGUGCCGUAGCUAACGCAUUAAGUACCCCGCCUGGGGAGUACGGCCGCAAGGCUAAAACUCAAAGGAAUUGACGGGGGCCCGCACAAGCGGCGGAGCAUGUGGAUUAA